rnacentral:rRNA from 1 species
GUGGGGAAUCUUGCGCAAUGGGCGAAAGCCUGACGCAGCCAUGCCGCGUGGAUGAUGAAGGUCUUAGGAUUGUAAAAUUCUUUCACCGGGGACGAUAAUGACGGUACCCGGAGAAGAAGCUCCGGCUAACUUCGUGCCAGCAGCCGCGGUAAUACGAAGGGGGCUAGCGUUGCUCGGAAUUACUGGGCGUAAAGGGCGCGUAGGCGGACAGCUUAGUCAGAGGUGAAAGCCCAGGGCUCAACCUUGGAAUUGCCUUUGAUACUGGCUGUCUUGAGUUUGGGAGAGGUGAGUGGAACUCCGAGUGUAGAGGUGAAAUUCGUAGAUAUUCGGAAGAACACCAGUGGCGAAGGCGACUCACUGGCCCAAUACUGACGCUGAGGCGCGUAAGCGUGGGGAGCAAACAGGAUUAGAUACCCGUGUAGUCC